GACGAACGCUGGCGGCGUGCCUAAUACAUGCAAGUCGAACGCUCUCGACCUUCGGGUCACAUGAGAGAGUGGCGAACGGGUGCGUAACACGUGAGAAACCUGCCCCAGAGACGGGAAUAACCCGAGGAAACUCGAGCUAAUACCCGAUGCCCUCCUUGGACCGCAUGGUCCGCUGAGGAAAUGCUCCGGCGCUUUGGGAGGGUCUCGCGGCCUAUCAGCUUGUUGGUGAGGUAACGGCUCACCAAGGCAUCGACGGGUAGCUGGUCUGAGAGGACGAUCAGCCACACUGGGACUGAGACACGGCCCAGACUCCUACGGGAGGCAGCAGUAGGGAAUCUUGCGCAAUGGGCGAAAGCCUGACGCAGCAACGCCGCGUGGGGGAUGAAGGCCUUCGGGUCGUAAACCCCUUUCAGCAGGGACGAAAAUGACGGUACCUGCAGAAGAAGAUCCGGCCAACUACGUGCCAGCCGCCGCCGUAACAC
rnacentral:rRNA from 1 species